rnacentral:rRNA from 1 species
UACGGAGGGUGCGAGCGUUGUCCGGAAUCACUGGGCGUAAAGGGCGCGUAGGUGGUCAGGUAAGGGUGUGGUGAAAGUCCGGGGCUCAACCCCGGAUCUGCCGUGCCGACUGCUUGACUGGAGCAUUGCAGAGGCAGAUGGAAUUCCGGGUGUAGCGGUGGAAUGCGUAGAGAUCGGGAGGAACAUCAGUGGCGAAGGCGGCCUGCUGGGCUGUUGCUGACGCUGAGGCGCGACAGCGU